rnacentral:lncRNA from 1 species
UAGUUAUCAUGGUAUCUUAUCUAUUCAUGUCUUACAUGUCCGCUCUACGAUUAAUAGCUCAUAUUUGUGCACGUUAGCAAAAAUUAUGUACGCUUACAGUUCCUAGUAUAGGAGUUUCAGUUCACUCAGUAUUACGAAUCAUGUUUCAUGAACACAAAAACUCUAGACUCAGGUCAUGUAGCUCAUGACUCAUGUACUCAUGUCAUGCUUUACAGUAUGCCCAGUUCCCAA